rnacentral:rRNA from 1 species
UGCCAGCAGCCGCGGUAAUACGGAGGGUGCAAGCGGUGUUCGGAAUUAUUGGGCGUAAAGCGCGCGUAGGCGGCUUGUUAAGCCGGAUGUGAAAGCCCUGGGCUCAACCCAGGAAGUGCAUCCGGAACUGGCAAGCUUGAAUCCUGGAGGGGGUGGUGGAAUUCCCGGUGUAGAGGUGAAAUUCGUAGAUAUCGGGAGGAACACCAGUGGCGAAGGCGACCACCUGGACAGAGAUUGACGCUGAGGUGCGAAAGCGUGGGUAGCAAACAGGAUUAGAUA